ACUCGUGAGGGAAAUAACCGGAGAUAAUAGAGAGAGAGAACUCCACAUAAUAAUAAUACUAUACAAUAUACUCCACCCCUAGAGGAACCGCGAGGACUCGUGAGGGAAAUGACCGGAGAUAAUAGAGGGAGAGAGAGAACUCCACAUAAUAAUAAUAUACAAUAUACUCCAUCCCUUGGAACCAGGAGGACUUGUGAGGGAAAUAACCUGAGAUAAUAGAGAGAGAGAACUCCACAUAAUAAUACUAUACAAUAUACUCCACCCCUAGAGGAACCGCGAGGACUCAUGAGGAAAAUGACCGGAGAUAAAAGAGAGAGAGAACUCCACAUAAUAAUAAUAAUAAAAGUAUACUCCACCCCUAGAGGAACCGCGAGGACUCGUGAGGGAAACGACCGACUGGAGACUCCAUCACAUAAUAAAUCCUUCAAAUAACUAAAAAUUAAUAUACAAUGGUGCGAAAUAUACUCCACCCCUAGAGGACACGCGUAAUGCAUAGCGACGUACACAUAAGUUGCGGUGUUCUGUGCUCACCCGACACAGUGAUCAGAACAAGCGAUUUGGGGUACUCACUGGACUACCGGCAGUUAGAUUAUGGGGGUCCAAUGGGUCAAGAUGGCGGCUGGAGGUCCCCUCACCUGUUUCAUUGGGCUCCAGCGAUCUUCUCAUAUGGUCUGCCAGACUGUACAUAUAGAUUACCGAUUGAACUGAAAUCAGACACUUAUCCCCUAUUCUAUGGAUUGGUGGUACCCCUUUAAUGAUCCUGUGCUCUGAACAGCGUAAACAUAAAAAAGGAAAACAAGGUCCAGAUUACUGAUUUUUGGUCACUUCAUAUACCAGGAACAAAGUAAAAAGUCUGGAAAUUCCUCACUACCGAGUAGGCUGUUCCUCACGUGUACAGCCAAUCAGACACUGAGGCAGGAUACCGCUGCGGCAGCCGAUUAGCUGAGCUUGCAGUGCACGGACCGACCACCAGGAGAACAGCAGAAGGAGCGAGGAAGGUGUGAUUUUUAUAUUUCCCACACCUGUUACUUGCCCCUGGUAAGGUUCCUGAGUAACUUGGAAGAUGUACACAGAAGGAAAAACUUCCAAAAAGGAGCAGAAGACCCUGAAAAGGAGCGUCCCGAAACCCAGAGCGGCUGACAUGGGAAUCGGAGGUCCCUGCGUCUCCUGGAAGACUCACACCUGAAGGGUUAUGUAAACCCACUGGCCAACAAACGCUCCGGGAGACAAACUUCCGUGUUGAGACAAGAAGAAGUGCGGAACAGAAAGACCGCCCCACACAGAGAAGUCUGGGCAGGAUCUCUACACAUGCCCAAGACCUCAACCAUCACUAAGGCCUAAAGAACCAGAAGGACCGACCUAGAAAAGAAGGCAUGCUACAGCAUACUGGGAUAGUGUCCAAGACAAGGAGACUAACCAGACAUGGACCCCAGCAGGACCCCAGUCAGGACGGGAAACAAAUGGGAAGGUAACUCAAGAAGACCGUAGUGUCAGUGUAGUGCAGCCAGGGCCGCCAUCAGGGGGGUACAGCCCAUACUCCUGUAAGGGGCCCGGAGCUUCAGGGCCCUGUCCUUUUUUUUUUUGCUUGUCAGUGAGUGACUGUGUCUAUCACUCACUGACCGCUGGGGGCCCGCCACUGUACACUGCAUGCUGAUUGAUUGGCUGACCGUAUGUAGUCACCCAAUCAGUCAGAAUGCAGCAGCAGCAGCGCCUCUGCACAUACCUCCGGGGACACACAAUUCUUCACUGCCUCUUUAACCCCUUAAUGACAGAGGAUUUUUCCAUUUUUGCAUUUUCGUUUUUUGCUCCUUGCCUUUAAAAAAUCAUAACUUUCAAUUUUGCACCUAAAAAUCCAUAUGAUGCUUAUUUUUUGCGCCACCAAUUCUACUUUGUAAUGACGUCAGUCAUUUUGCCCAAAAAUCUACGGUGAA